UACAGAGGUCUCAAGCGUUGUUCGGAUUCAUUGGGCGUAAAGGGUGCGUAGGCGGCGCGGUAAGUCGGGUGUGAAAUCUCGGAGCUUAACUCCGAAACUGCAUUCGAUACUGCCGUGCUUGAGGACUGGAGAGGAGACUGGAAUUUAUGGUGUAGCAGUGAAAUGCGUAGAGAUCAUGAGGAAGACCAGUGGCGAAGGCGGGUCUCUGGACAGUUCCUGACACUGAGACACGAAGGCCAGGGGAGCAAACGGG
rnacentral:rRNA from 1 species